GCAGUCGAGCGCGAAUAGGGGCAACCCUUAGUAGAGCGGCGCACGGGUGCGUAACACGUGGAUAAUCUGCCUGGAUGCUCGGGAUAACCAGUCGAAAGAUUGGCUAAUACCGGAUAAGCCCACGGUUUCUUCGGAGACUGAGGGAAAAGGUGGCCUCUGUAUACAAGCUAUCACAACCAGAUGAGUCCGCGGCCCAUCAGCUAGUUGGCGGGGUAAUGGCCCACCAAGGCGACGACGGGUAGCUGGUCUGAGAGGACGAUCAGCCACACUGGAACUGAGACACGGUCCAGACUCCUACGGGAGGCAGCAGUGGGGAAUUUUGCGCAAUGGGCGAAAGCCUGACGCAGCAACGCCGCGUGUGUGAUGAAGGUCUUCGGAUUGUAAAGCACUUUCGACCGGGACGAAAACCCGUAGCCCAAUACGCUACGGCUUGACGGUACCGGGAGAAGAAGCACCGGCUAACUCUGUGCCAGCAGCCGCGGUAAUACAGAGGGUGCAAGCGUUGUUCGGAAUUAUUGGGCGUAAAGCGCGUGUAGGCGGCGUGACAAGUCGGGUGUGAAAGCCCUCAGCUCAACUGAGGAA
rnacentral:rRNA from 1 species